rnacentral:rRNA from 1 species
AAACUUUCAACAACGGAUCUCUUGGUUCUGGCAUCGAUGAAGAACGCAGCGAAAUGCGAUAAGUAGUGUGAAUUGCAGAAUUCAGUGAAUCAUCGAAUCUUUGAACACACAUUGCGCCCCUUGGUAUCCCGAGGGGCAUGCCUGUUCGAGCGUCAUUU